GGCCAGACUCCUACGGGAGGCAGCAGUGGGGAAUAUUGCACAAUGGGGGAAACCCUGAUGCAGCGACGCCGCGUGAGUGAAGAAGUAUUUCGGUAUGUAAAGCUCUAUCAGCAGGGAAGAAAAUGACGGUACCUGACUAAGAAGCCCCGGCUAACUACGUGCCAGCAGCCGCGGUAAUACGUAGGGGGCAAGCGUUAUCCGGAUUUACUGGGUGUAAAGGGAGCGUAGACGGCAUGGCAAGUCAGAUGUGAAAGCCCGGGGCUCAACCCCGGGACUGCAUUUGAAACUGUCAGGCUGGAGUGCAGGAGAGGUAAGUGGAAUUCCUAGUGUAGCGGUGAAAUGCGUAGAUAUUAGGAGGAACACCAGUGGCGAAGGCGGCUUACUGGACUGUAACUGACGUUGAGGCUCGAAAGCGUGGGGAGCAAACAGGAUUAGAUACCCGGGUA
rnacentral:rRNA from 1 species